CCUACGGGAGGCAGCAGUGAGGAAUAUUGGUCAAUGGACGAGAGUCUGAACCAGCCAAGUAGCGUGAAGGAUGACUGCCCUAUGGGUUGUAAACUUCUUUUAUAUGGGAAUAAAAUGUUCCACGUGUGGGAUUUUGUAUGUACCAUAUGAAUAAGGAUCGGCUAACUCCGUGCCAGCAGCCGCGGUAAUACGGAGGAUCCGAGCGUUAUCCGGAUUUAUUGGGUUUAAAGGGAGCGUAGGUGGAUUGUUAAGUCAGUUGUGAAAGUUUGCGGCUCAACCGUAAAAUUGCAGUUGAAACUGGCAGUCUUGAGUACAGUAGAGGUGGGCGGAAUUCGUGGUGUAGCGGUGAAAUGCUUAGAUAUCACGAAGAACUCCGAUUGCGAAGGCAGUUCACUGGACUGCAACUGACACUGAGGCUCGAAAGUGUGGGUAUCAAACAGUAUUAGAUACCCCAGUAGUC
rnacentral:rRNA from 1 species